CCCAGACAGCCAGGAUGUUGGCUUAGAAGCAGCCAUCAUUUAAAGAAAGCGUAAUAGCUCACUGGUCGAGUCGGCCUGCGCGGAAGAUGUAACGGGGCUAAACCAUGCACCGAAGCUGCGGCAGCGAACGUAUCACUUAAAGCGAUUCAGCGGGUUACGAUUGACGGAGCGAAGCGACGUCAAAGCGUAUACAAAGUCGAGUCGGUUUAGGGAUACGUUCGUUGGGUAGGGGAGCGUUCUGUAAGCCUGUGAAGGUGUGUCGUGAGGCAUGCUGGAGGUAUCAGAAGUGCGAAUGCUGACAUAAGUAACGAUAAAGCGGGUGAAAAGCCCGCUCGCCGGAAGACCAAGGGUUCCUGUCCAACGUUAAUCGGGGCAGGGUGAGUCGACCCCUAAGGCGAGGCCGAAAGGCGUAGUCGAUGGGAAACGGGUUAAUAUUCCCGUACUUGGUGUUACUGCGAAGGGGGGACGGAGAAGGCUAUGUUGGCCGGGCGACGGUUGUCCCGGUUUAAGCGUGUAGGUGUGUGUUCCAGGUAAAUCCGGUUCACUUUAACACUGAGGCGUGACGACGAGGCACUACGGUGCUGAAGCAACAAAUGCCCUGCUUCCAGGAAAAGCCUCUAAGCAUCAGGUAACACGAAAUCGUACCCCAAACCGACACAGGUGGUCAGGUAGAGAAUACCAAGGCGCUUGAGAGAACUCGGGUGAAGGAACUAGGCAAAAUGGUGCCGUAACUUCGGGAGAAGGCACGCUGACACGUAGGUGA
rnacentral:rRNA from 1 species